rnacentral:misc_RNA from 1 species
GGAAUGCAGUUUGUGGACUGGGCGAGGUGGAGUGGUGUGCAGUAACUUUAUGCUUCUUUUCUCUUUCGGGCAUUCUCAGCGAGGAUCAUCAGUGUUUCUUCACUCGAAAUCAAAACCUUAGGGUUAGAGAUGGAGGCGACUUAUAACUAAGCCAACUAGUUUUGUCACUUGUUUGUGCUUCUAGCUCAAUAAUUCCAUCCUUGUUGUAUUCUAGUUGAUGAAGUGAGUUUUGGUUACAUCAAAUAUCAAAGGAAACAUGUUUGCUCCAUGUGAUGUGUGAGCUUGAGACACGUCACGAGUUCGAACCCUGUAUUUAAGUGGGGAAGG